GGGCCGUUAGCUCAGUUGGUAGAGCACCGGGCUUUUAACCCGUUGGUCCAGGGUUCGAGACCCUGACGGCCCACCA
rnacentral:tRNA from 1 species